rnacentral:rRNA from 1 species
GAGUUUGAUCCUGGCUCAGAUUGAACGCUGGCGGCAGGCCUAACACAUGCAAGUCGAGCGGCAGCACGGGUACUUGUACCUGGUGGCGAGCGGCGGACGGGUGAGUAAUGCCUAGGAAUCUGCCUGGUAGUGGGGGAUAACGCUCGGAAACGGACGCUAAUACCGCAUACGUCCUACGGGAGAAAGCAGGGGACCUUCGGGCCUUGCGCUAUCAGAUGAGCCUAGGUCGGAUUAGCUAGUUGGUGAGGUAAUGGCUCACCAAGGCGACGAUCCGUAACUGGUCUGAGAGGAUGAUCAGUCACACUGGAACUGAGACACGGUCCAGACUCCUACGGGAGGCAGCAGUGGGGAAUAUUGGACAAUGGGCGAAAGCCUGAUCCAGCCAUGCCGCGUGUGUGAAGAAGUCUUCGGAUUGUAAAGCACUUUAAGUUGGGAGGAAGGGCAGUUACAUAAUACGUGAUUGU